rnacentral:tRNA from 1 species
GGGAGUUUAGCUCGCUGGGGAGCAUCUGCCUUACAAGCAGAGGGUCGCGGUUCGAUCCCCGUUAACUCCCA